UUCUUGUUUGAGGUAGUUAGAAAAACGAAAUGGGCCAAAAAGACAUGGUCCAUGCUCCAUAGUAAUAUGGAUCCAUGAAGAUGAUAAUUAAGGUGCAUAUCGUUUUUCAAUAUCGAACUUGUUGAGCCAUUAAAAUGGAGGCUCUUUUCUCUCAAUUUCCAACCCCUUAUUUUCAGAUCUGAGCUUUGUAUAUAUAGCCCUCCCGUGUGUGUCUUGCGUGUGAUCUCUUCUGCAUAUACUUGUUUUGGACUUUCCUUGGGCUUUUGUAGUUUUGGGCUGGAGGUCCAAAGGUGAUCCGGGGCUUGAGACCCAACAUUAGUCCCCCUCCAAAGUAGUUCCAGAUCUUUAGAUGUGGAUUAGAUUAUUUUGGGAAGCGUUUUUACCGCAUGUGACUUUUGUUGCUUGACAAGUUUAUUAUGGCGUGGAGGCGGUGAGCCAUUUUUUGUAAAUAGGUGCAGAGAAGUUGAGGAGCUGGAACCUGCAGUGCAUGUUGAUGAGAUUCCUGCGGACAAAGAGUCUCUUUUCUCUCUAGUUGUUUUCUACCAAACAAUCGAAGCCAGUCUAAUGGUGAUAAUUACUGAAAGAACAUAAUGGCUAAAAGAAUAAACUGCCGAGUGAAGUAGAGGGGCUGUGAGCUUAACUCGGAGAACCAUCUUUUCAGUGAAGCAGAGGGGCUGUGGGCUGUGAGCUUGGAGAACCGUCUUCGAUGGUGAUAUCGAUGUUGUCACUUCUGGCUUUUAGGUUUGAUGAUCGAUUUCAACAUAAAUAGGGGGUCAUCUUGUGGAGAUUACCUUGAUUCACAUACCAGUUUGCCCGCGAAGCGGGCUUAUAUUGGAGAUGAUGUGUUUAGGCAGAUGAAGCCUUGGGGCGUGAUACCUGAGACCCGUUGUAAGGCUUU
rnacentral:lncRNA from 1 species